AGUGUAUGGAUAGUCCAACCUUUACUAUCGAUAGAUUUUUUUAAAUCACUUUUUAACAUCAUAUAGAGUACACACGGCCAUUGUCUCAAGCAUGAGCGAGCAUGGUGCUCCAGCUUCUCAGUUAAAUCACUCUGGAGCUCUCAAACCUCAGUCGUGUGCAUUCAGUAUCACACAAGUGUUGUUUUCGAGGUUUUGUCUGCUAAUCGUCUCCUUUUGAGCUCCACAGGUGAAGGAAGGUCACACGGGUGAGUAAAUGAUGACUGUUUUUCAUUUUCGGCUGAAUCUUAAAAAAAUAAAUACGUACACAACCGAGGCGAUAUUGUUGACAUAUAUAUGUAUAAAAUGUUCAUAGCAAAGCUGUAUUUCUUCUUUAAACAAUUUUGUUGAGUUUGAGUUUAUAUGGAGAACUCUGACUUUUGACCCAAACCCCGAGACCAACUUUGAGAUUUAGUUGAGAUCUCUUUUGAAACUUGCUCCAUCUUGACACCACGGUUAUUUGUAUAUAGGCUUUUAAAAAGGACUGUUGUGUACAUACUGUACGAUUAUGUUUCGCUCUAUACAGAAAAGAUAAGUUGACUGUCAAAAAAAUAAUUCACUACCACGCAAAGCAACCCGACUGAUCCUGAAUCAGCAGAGAGAGGGAUGUUGUGUUAAAAGCAAACGCACAGAAGAUAUGACAAGACAUUGAUCUUAGUGUUUUGAGAUUUUGUGUUUGGUCGCCAUGGCAAGACGUCUUUCCCCCUUCCAUCUUUAUGUUGGUUUCUAUUGAGAGGUGAGGAAGCAGAAUGGGUGGAAUGUUAGAAGGAACGUGACAUCUCUACCAUCCUUCAGACACGCCGCCUUCUCCAAGCACUUUACAUUUGACCCGUGACUGCUCUUGAUCUUCAUACGCUGUUUGACGCUGCUUCAUCAGACGCUGCAAAAUAAUAAAUUGUUAUACAUUUUGAGUCUUUUAGUUGCAUGAUGUGAGCAUCUUCUAAUAUCUGAAGCAUUGAAGUUUAAGCCAGUGGAGGUCAUGCAUGAAUAGAAUUCAAGUUUAACGGUUCAGGGAUCAAACUCAUUCAGAUGAGGAGUUUUGAUGAAAAUUUGGAUCCCACGCACUGACUUGACUCUUCUGACCUUGUAGGUGACCUUCUCCGCAGUCAGUUGGGCGUUUUAUGGGAAAGAGAUGGAGUGUCUAUGGAGACCGCCAAAUGUUGAUGGGCAAUGUUAACUGACAGGUUACUGAUGAUGUCAGAUGGUUUUCUGACACCAGCCGCUGAGCCAUCAUAACCUGAGGACACGGGAAAAUCUCCUCGGAGACUUCGGCACCGUUGUGAUAAUUACGAGAAUGCAGACGGAUGAUUAGGACGCCGGCCUUGUCCCUCACAGUGCAUUCUGGGAUCGAUACGUGCAGUGCUACCUCAGAUUUUGGCCAAAAUAAGGUAACCUAGAAGGCAUAAAUUUGUUGCUGUCUACCUUUUGGAUCCAUUGUUCUGUGCUGUUCUGAAGCUGAGACGUUUAUUAUAUUGUGUUUUCAUUGUACUGAUUGUAUAAUAUUAUUCAGCCGUACUGUUCCACUCCUCAAACUCAACUCAGUCCAGACAAUUUUCCCUUCAUUUACAGCCCGGUGGAAUUACACUGAGAGAUCCAGUCAGCCACAAAUUCACUGCAUAUCUUUUUUCUCA